ensembl:lncRNA
AGAGAACAUAAACGCUGGCUUGUCUUCAAUAAUGACUAAAUAAUAGUUCAAGCCAUUGGGAGAGUUUUAAGUUGAUUCUAUGCCAGACAUGCAGAUUUUGCAGAUCACAGCAUAACAUUUUAUCAAGUAAGUUCUAAUGUGAUAUAACUCCAGUACUCCAGGCUCUUAAUUUAGAGAAGAAGAAUAAUGAACCCAGAGAAUCAGACAGACAGACAGACAGACAGAUGAGGAGGCCUCCUCCCUCUCGUUGAGUCUCUCUCUCGUCCUGGGUUUAGUUUGAGUGGCAGGCUCUCACACGUUGAACAACCUUGCCACAUACAUAACUACAGCAUAGAAAUGACUCUGCUGUGACCCGAGCACAGGUUGAAAAGUUCACUGCACAGAAAUGACUCUGCUCUGACCCCAGCACAGGUUGAAAAGUUCACUGCACAGAAAUGACUCUGCUCUGACCCCAGCACAGGUUGAAAAGUUCACUGCACAGAAAUGACUCUGCUCUGACCCCAGCACAGGUUGAAAAGUUCACGCAUAGAAAUGAAAAAAAAAGAAAAACACAAAAGUUAUUCAA